GUAGGUGAACCUGCGGAGGGAUCAUUACCGAGAUUCGGGUCCCUUUGGGGGCCUGACCCUCCCACCCUUUGUGUAUAUACCCUCGUUGCUUCGGCGUACCCCGCGGUCAACGGUGCUGCUCGACACGCCGGACCCGGGCCGUCAGUGGCCCCUAUCAAUUCUGAAUGUAUCGGUGACGUCUGAGCGUACACAUGCAAAACGAACAAAAUUUUCAACAACGGAUCUCUUGGUUCCGGCAUCGAUGAAGAAC
rnacentral:misc_RNA from 1 species